rnacentral:lncRNA from 1 species
UAUAUAUAUAUAUAGAGAGAGAGAGAGAGAGAGUAGGGCUACUAUAUUCUUUAUAAGUAUAGAGCCUUUCGUACUCAUAAGUUGUUUUCAAUGAUAAAGCUUCUGAAUUAAUCAACAAUUCAUAUCGUCAAAUAUGAUCUAAAGUAUUUAAAACUUAUAGAAAAUAAAUUUCGUAAUUUUUUAAAAUCAUAAUAAAAUCCAUUAAGUAAGCAUAAAAUAAAAAGUCAGAAUCAAACGAUGUCUUAAAAAUGGAUAUUAGGAUACUUCAAUUUAUGAUCANACUAUAUUCUUUAUAAGUAUAGAGCCUUUCGUACUCAUAAGUUGUUUUCAAUGAUAAAGCUUCUGAAUUAAUCAACAAUUCAUAUCGUCAAAUAUGAUUUAACAGUUGAUAUUAGGAUACUUCAAUUUAUGAUCAGAGUUAUUGAUCUUUAUCUAGAUAGUGAAUAUAGUUUUCUAUAAAAAAUUCAACCGAUUUUGAUUCUUUAACACAGUUAAACUAGCAAGUAUCUUAUAUCAACUGUUAAAAACUAUCAAUUUUAAGAUUUUUUUAAUCGUAAGGUAAAUGAUAUCAAAAAAAUAAUAAAAUUUGAUUUUUAGAAGUUCUAAAUGCUCUAGAUAAUGUUUAACUUAUAACCGAAAAUAACUUAUAAGUACGAAGGCAGGGGAAUCUCUCUCUCUAUAUAUGUAACAAUAACUACCUCAACAUUUUCCAUCACAAUUAACAAGUGCCAUCAUUAUAUAAAUUUACUAAUUAUAAACUAAACUAUUAAA